UUCUCCAAAAUUAACCACAUAUUAGAACACAAAGUAAGUCUCAACAAAUACAGGAAAAUUUGUAGCAUUCUGCAUUCUAUCUGACUACAAUGGAAUAGAGAAAGAUAUCAACUGCAACACAAAUGGAUCCUUCAGUUACCCUGAGGCCAUCUGGACAAUAAAGGACAACCUCUGUA